rnacentral:rRNA from 1 species
GACGUAGGGGGCAAGCGUUGUCCGGAAUCAUUGGGCGUAAAGCGCGCGUAGGCGGCCCUGUAAGUCCGUUGUGAAAGUCAAAGGCUCAACCUUUGAAAGCCGAUGGAUACUGCAGGGCUAGAGUCCGGAAGAGGCGAGUGGAAUUCCUGGUGUAGCGGUGGAAUGCGCAGAUAUCAGGAGGAACACCAAUAGCGAAGGCAGCUCGCUGGGACGGUACUGACGCUAAGGCGCGAAAGCGUGGGGAGCGAACAGG